AGAACAUAUCAGAUCAGCUGCUUUCUGCAUGCAUGGAAAGAAAGGAGAAAGAACCUCCAGCAUAACCCAAAGGACAGGUCCUGGGGUUUCUUUCUCUCCAACUCACUCUGCACGUUUCUACUCUCCAUGUGUUUUGAAAGACUUGAUCAGUGUCGCUCAGAAGCAUUGCCAUGGACGCCCAGAAUGUACCUAGUGGCUUCACUGAGGAACUGCAAAACCUCGUCACCUCAGUCCAACCGUGACAUGCAGCACUCCACACAUUUUCCCAUGUGCAUUAUUUUCACUUUUAUCCAUGUGAUCAAACUUUGAAAACUGAAAAGAAGAAAACAGCUCUAAAGAUCUGCAAAGAAUAAGCAGUACCAAAUAACGUUUGAGGGUGAUGCGGCAGAAGAAGAAAACGGACUAACAAUUUGUGAAUUAAAGAAAUCUCAAUAUCAGGAAAAAAAGUUGUUCCCCCUCUCCUGUUGGAAUUGCACAGCCAUGCCUCGAGCAUCCUGGAGCAGAAGGCUGCCCAGAAUCCUGGUAGCAACAGAAGAAAAUGAAGAGAACUUGGGAACGAGCUGGACAAGCUACAGCAUGGACAUAUCUGCAGUCUCUGGCAUUUCUGUCUAACCUCUAGCUCUCUCAACUCUCCUUCCCAAUUAGCCAUAAGUGGACCUGCAAAUGACAGCUGAAGACAUCUUUAACUGAUGAGAGGCUCUGCACAAUUCCUGGAAGUUCCUGAAAGGUUAAAUGGUUCAGAAGAGAUAGCAGCUGCCUGUGCCUCCACCUACAUUCCUUCAGCUUCUGACCCGCAUUAAAAUAUAUAAUUUAAUAUGACAACUUAAUUCCAAACUUUAAAGAAAAAAUAAGAAGUUGAUUAUGAUUGGCAUGGAAAUUACAUCCUCCUGUUAGUUCUCAUUUUAUGCCAGCACGGUCAUUCCAGCCUUUGUCAUUCACGUGCAAGCAGGAUGAAGAGCCAGCUCACUCCAGCUUUCUCCCCUGGUGAGUGAGAAGAGCCCGGAAGCAAAGGGCUUUUGAGAGUCACUUGUCACAACUAAGGUGUAAAGCCCACACUCUUACUCAGGAGUAGGUGUUUGCUGAUAAAACCUAGUAAACUACAAUCUGUAUUUUGUGAUUAAGGCUUUUGCUUUGCUGAUUCUGGAGAACAUACUGAUACUGGCUUAAAAAUACUGGCAAGAAUUUUGUAUACCUCCUUGAUCAAAUGGUUCAAGCUAAUUAGAAGAGCAUGUCAUUAUCAUCUGUACAUCUGGGUUGAUAUUAGACUAAUAAGAGGUGCUUUCAUACCAACUGUUGUGAAAACCUGCAAAUCUAACAACUCUCUUCUGUACACCAGCCAAACUCUUGACUGACCUCUGAAUGUCAGCUUAAAAGUCACCUUUUAUUUUAAUUCACUGACAUUGUAAAUAUGUUCUGCACUGUACCAGAUAAACAACCCUCAGAUCCUUUUGGAAAACACUGACUGUGGGGGUUAGUUUCAUGUAGCACUUAUUCUCACUCGAAAUUUCUCUGAGUGUCCUUAGUGUCUUUCUAGAAUCUAACUCAGUCUCAUAUGAAAUGUCACUUACAAAUCCAAGAAAUGAGUCCCUUUCUGAUAAACCCUUGGCUGCUUCCCGUAAGUAGUAUUUUGGGAAGCGGGCCUUGACAAAUAUUUUACUUUUCUCUGAGUUCUAAAAGUAUACAUAUACGCAGAUAUGCACAUAUCAAUGACUUCAUUGUUUAUGAAAGUGAAAAAUCAACCAAUGGAUUAAUGAUUUUGUUUAUUCCUACUUCUUUUCUACUUGUGUUCCUAGUGAGACUUGGAUUUCUUUAAUAUUUUAUUUAUAGUCUAGUUUAACAUUACAAUUUUCAUUGUAUUUAUGCCAACUGGUCCUGCAGAACUGCUGUAAGUCUUAAAAUAAUUUUCUGUAUUGUCAAAAUUCUAUUUAAAGCAGGUUAGCAUUUAAGUAUGGUUCAUGUUUACUGUCUUCCAGUGACUUCCCAUCACUUUUGCUCAGUUUAGAAGCAAAAGCAUGCUGGUGGUUUUCAAAUAAAGUGAGGCUUAGCUCUUCCUGGC
rnacentral:lncRNA from 7 species